AAUCUUGGAUAGUCGCUGUAAGGAAAGCUUAUAGAGGAAAGUCCAUGCUUGCAUAGGCUGCGAUGCCUAUAGUGUUUGUGCCAAAGGAAACCAUAACUUUGGGCUGUAUUUUACAGACGGCCGAUAAUUCUCUAAGUGAAAAUAAGAGAAAAAUCGAUAAAGUGCCACAGAGACGAGUUUGUUUGGAAACAACAAAGUGAAACGCGGUAAACCCCUCAAGCAAGAAACUCAAAUUUGGUAGAGGAACUUCUACGUUUGAAAUGAAAAACAAAGAAGAUGUUUCGACAUAGAUAAAUGACUAUCACUACAUGAAUUGUAGUACAGAACAUGGCUUACAAAG
rfam:Firmicutes bacterium CAG:631 genomic scaffold, scf56